UAAUACUUGCAAUUGGGAUUUCACCUUGCAACUGCAAUGAAUUGUUUUUAUUGUGAUUUGAGUUUGUGGAAAGCUGAUCUAUGCCUUUUCACACCUCCUGAAGUAUGUGCAUUUUCCAUUUUCCUUUUCAUGACCCACGUUUUAUUAAUAUUUGUCCUUUCAUGCAUGUUUCUGCUUGAGUGUAAUCUAUCCUGCCCUGAACAUAAAGAAUUGCCUCAAAAGUGAUGCUUGUGUUCCCUAUUUUUACCAGUGUUUCUUUGUUUCUUUCUAGGAAAAUGUCAAGACAAAGCAUCCCCAAUUCUUGUAUGAAUCAAAGUUGUACAGGAUCCUACAGGGAGGAACUGGAAUUCCAAAUGUUAGAUGGUUUGGUGUUGAAGGUGACUAUAAUGUUCUAAUGACGGACUUGUUGGGUCUGAGCUUGGAAGACCUUUUCAACUUCUGCAGUAGGAAACUAUCUUUGAAGUCUGUUCUUAUGCUCACCGAUCAAAUGAUCAACCGAGUUGAGUUUGUUCAUGCCAAGUCUUUUCUACAUCGAGAUAUCAUGCCAGAUAAUUUUCUUAUGGGCCUAGGGAUAUGAGCAAAUCAGGUGAUUUAUUGGUUUUUUGAAGUUUACUUUGGGUGUUCUGUUCAAGAGCAUUAUGAAUAUUUGGCAUGAUGUGCGGUGUACUGUUGCACUUGGAGCACCACAGAGUGCAGAGAGUACCACAGAGUGCAGAGAGUAUCAUCUAUGCAUCCACGUUUAAGGGAAACAGUGUGUUUAGCACAUCCCUCAAAAUGUUGAUGGCUGGAAAUGGUUUCCAUGCUACUAAAGUCAUAGUUUUAACCCAUUUCGAAGUGCAUGCAAAUGCACCCAAGAAAAAUAAGUUGCAGAAGAAAAUAAAAAAUGUCACAAAAAAUUGGCAGUAUCUUAGAUGACAUUAAUAAUAU